UACGGGGGGGGCAAGCGUUAUUCGGAUUCACUGGGCGUAAAGGGUGCGCAGGCGGUUGGGUGUGUCAGAUGUGAAAUCCCGAGGCUCAACCUCGGAACUGCGUCUGAAACUACUCGACUAGAGUACUGGAGAGGGAAACGGAAUUCACGGUGUAGCAGUGAAAUGCGUAGAUAUCGUGAGGAACACCAGAGGCGAAGGCGGUUUCCUGGACAGUUACUGACGCUCAGGCACGAAAGCAUGGGGAGCAAAAGGG
rnacentral:rRNA from 1 species